rnacentral:rRNA from 1 species
CCUACGGGUGGCAGCAGUGGGGAAUAUUGCGCAAUGGGCGCAAGCCUGACGCAGCGACGCCGCGUGAGGGAUGAAGGUCUUCGGAUCGUAAACCUCUGUCAGCAGGGAAGAACGGUCACUGUGCUAAUCAGCAGUGAAUUGACGGUACCUGCAAAGGAAGCACCGGCUAACUCCGUGCCAGCAGCCGCGGUAAUACGGAGGGUGCGAGCGUUAAUCGGAGUUACUGGGCGUAAAGCGCUCGUAGGCGGUAUGUCAAGUCAAGGGUGAAAUCCCCGCGCUCAACGUGGGAACUGCCUUUGAAACUGGCAACCUGGAGUGUGUUAGAGGUUAGUGGAAUUCCAGGUGUAGCGGUGAAAUCCUUAGAUAUCAGGAGGAACAUCAGUGGCGAAGGCGGCUAUCUGGCACAUAACUGACGCUGAGGAGCGAAAGCGUGGGUAGCAAACAGGAUUAGAUACCCGAGUAGUC